rnacentral:rRNA from 1 species
UGCAGUCGAACGGUGAUGGCCAGCUUGCUGGUCUGAUCAGUGGCGAACGGGUGAGUAACACGUGAGUAACCUGCCCCUGACUCUGGGAUAACUACCGGAAACGGUGGCUAAUACCGGAUAUGAGGUGCCUGGGCAUCUGGGCGCCUGGAAAGUUUUUCGGUCAGGGAUGGGCUCGCGGCCUAUCAGCUUGUUGGUGGGGUGAUGGCCUACCAAGGCGACGACGGGUAGCCGGCCUGAGAGGGCGACCGGCCACACUGGGACUGAGACACGGCCCAGACUCCUACGGGAGGCAGCAGUGGGGAAUAUUGCACAAUGGGCGCAAGCCUGAUGCAGCGACGCCGCGUGCGGGAUGACGGCCUUCGGGUUGUAAACCGCUUUCAGCAGGGAAGAAGCGCAAGUGACGGUACCUGCAGAAGAAGCGCCGGCUAACUACGUGCCAGCAGCCGCGGUAAUACGUAGGGCGCAAGCGUUGUCCGGAAUUAUUGGGCGUAAAGAGCUCGUAGGCGGUUUGUCGCGUCUGCUGUGAAAUCCUCAGGCUCAACCUGGGGCUUGCAGUGGGUACGGGCAGACUAGAGUGCGGUAGGGGUGACUGGAAUUCCUGGUGUAGCGGUGGAAUGCGCAGAUAUCAGGAGGAACACCGAUGGCGAAGGCAGGUCACUGGGCCGCAACUGACGCUGAGGAGCGAAAGCAUGGGGAGCGAACAGGAUUAGAUACCCUGGUAGUCCAUGCCGUAAACGUUGGGCACUAGGUGUGGGGUCCAUUCCACGGAUUCCGUGCCGCAGCAAACGCAUUAAGUGCCCCGCCUGGGGAGUACGGCCGCAAGGCUAAAACUCAAAGAAAUUGACGGGGGCCCGCACAAGCGGCGGAGCAUGCGGAUUAAUUCGAUGCAACGCG